UGCACUUCCGAUCUGUAGAUCUGACCCACAAUAUGCAUCUGUGGGCACUGGAGCUCGGAGGGGUCAUUCACUCUGUCAUCCGACGAUGCUCAGAUCACAGGGCAGGAGCAGCCAGGCCCUGGCCCAGAGCCCCUGAUUCUUGUGCCAGGAUUUUUUUUUGCUCGGUGUCACAUGCUUGAAAGAAAUCACGGCAAAAUUCCAGCACUAAGUAACAUUAAAAGCACUAACAAACAUUAUCUAAAAGAAUGGGUUCCUUUGUUAUUGAAAUGACCAGGAGGAAUUAACCUCCUUUGUAUACAGAAAAUAUUUGUAACAAAUCUCAAUCCCUUUAAAAGGAAAAAAAAAAAAAAAAAGCCUCUUACCA